rnacentral:rRNA from 1 species
UACGGAAGGCAGCAGUGGGGAAUAUUGCACAAUGGGCGAAAGCCUGAUGCAGCUAUGCCGCGUGUAUGAAGAAGGCCUUAGGGUUGUAAAGUACUUUCAUCGGGGAGGAAAAACAAAACUAAUAAUUUUAUUCUUGACGUUACCCGAAAAAGAAGCACCGGCUAACUCCGUGCCAGCAGCCGCGGUAAUACGGAGGGUGCUAGCGUUAAUCAGAAUUACUGGGCGUAAAGAGCACGUAGGUGGUUUUUUUAAGUCAGAUGUGAAAUCCCUGGGCUUAACCUAGGAACUGCAUUUUGAAACUGAAAUACUAGAGUAUCGUAGAGGGAGGUAGAAUUCUAGGUGUAGCGGUGAAAUGCGUAGAUAUCUGGAGGAAUACCUGUGGCGAAAGCGGCCUCCUAAACGAAUACUGACACUGAGGUGCGAAAGCGUGGGGAGCAAACAGGGAUUAGAUACC